rnacentral:lncRNA from 1 species
ACUUGUGCAUCACGCUUUUGGAAUGGCUAGCAAGGUCGUUCCAUAUUAUGGUAAUGGAAUUCGGCCACGUGUGUUGCCUACGUUCGGAUUGGAUCCACUGUAAAUUAUGUUGAUUUCUCGCUCCUUCUCACGACUUGUGGUUGUUUUGCAGGUUGGAACAUCGUGUCGGUUUUGUUCCUAAUGCGCAUUGUCAUCUUGUUUGUCCCCUGAGGUGCUUUCAUGACAGAGAUACCUCCCCAUUUCCCAUUUUAUGCACUGCUAUUAAUGUCUAUGAUAAUACACAUCUCGCAGCAAGUUCAUGAUCAUGGUAAGUCUUUGUUGUUGAUUGCAAAGUCUACUCGUGGUUGAAC